rnacentral:lncRNA from 1 species
AAAAAGUUGCACCAGGAAGACUUCAUCAAAAUGUCAUGUGCUUCAUUGUUUAAGCAGAUCUGCUGUCUGCCUGAAGGCAGGAUGGGCUACAUCAAUGGGCUCCAAUACUCUCUGCCUUCUGGCUGGGUUUGGCAAGUGGGAGGCCGUGCAGAGAAACAGAAGGAAGUUGACAGUGACCUCAGCAUAUUCACUCAACUGACACCUCUCUAACAGAUUACCUCAGGCUGACUGCAUCCCCCAGUUGAAGAUGACAUCUUCUCUCAAGGCAGCCUCCUCUAUGUGACUCUCCUUCCAGGUUCUGGUAGCUGCUUCCUUCCCCAAAGCUCCAGACCCAGGGAUGACAGCAGCUCUGCUGAUAUUUGCCCUGGGAUAAUGCACCAUCUCUUAUGCCUCCUGUAUGUCCACAGCUCCACAAGGAGUCACUCUGUAAAUAAACCCUUGCAAAAUCAUGCCAGUUUGCCUGUGACAUCUGCUUCCUUAACUGACAGAGCUCUUUAUAAAACAGAGGUGAAAAACUGAAGGACAAAACCAUUGUUAAAGGAAAGUAGAAUCCCAGGACCCCAAACUCACUAUGCCAGAGAAAGUUAAGCUUGGCAAAUGAGUCACAUAAAAACCGCCUUCCGUUUGUUCCCAAACAAAUAGCUGUAAUUUCACAUGCUUACUUUAGCUGAUGUAAAAUGUAGAUUUACUGGGCCCCAGAUGAAUGCAUAAUUGACUUUUCUCUACUCAUGUGUAAAAUGUAGAUUUACCAAGCACUAACCAGAACCUCACAAGAAUGUAACCACUUGCCUUGUUGCUUACUUUUUUCUCUUCCCUCCUGCUUGCUCUUUCCCUUUUAAAUACCAAAGUUCCCAAAACUCUCUUUGGAAAAAGCACAGGUCACAAAUUCUACUAUGAGCUGUGUUUGUUUUUCCUGGGUGCUUUCUCAGCCUUGGCAAAAUAAACUUCUAAUUCAUUGAGAUCUGCCUCAGUCACUUUUUGGUUUGCACUUUCUUCUCCUCUCCACCUAGAAAAAGAAUCAUAGAUAGUGUAUUCAAAGUGUAUUGUGCCCUAACGCAUAAAGUACACGUCAAAUGAGAGGUUUUUACGUUUGUACGACUGAUUUUUGAGACAGGGUCUUGCUCUGUCACCCAGGCUGGAGUGCAGUGAUGUGAUCAAAAUUCAAGGCAGCCUCGACCUCCCCUG